AGCGAACGCUGGCGGCAGGCCUAACACAUGCAAGCCGAACGAACUCUUCGGAGUUAGUGGCGGACGGGUGAGUAACACGUGGGAACGUGCCUUUAGGUUCGGAAUAACUCAGGGAAACUUGUGCUAAUACCGAAUGUGCCCUUCGGGGGAAAGAUUUAUCGCCUUUAGAGCGGCCCGCGUCUGAUUAGCUAGUUGGUGAAGUAAAGGCUCACCAAGGCGACGAUCAGUAGCUGGUCUGAGAGGAUGACCAGCCACAUUGGGACUGAGACACGGCCCAAGCUCCUACGGGAGGCAGCAGUGGGGAAUCUUGCGCAAUGGGCGAAAGCCUGACGCAGCCAUGCCGCGUGAAUGAUGAAGGUCUUAGGAUUGUAAAAUUCUUUCACCGGGGACGAUAAUGACGGUACCCGGAGAAGUAGCCCCGGCUAACUUCGUGCCAGCAGCCGCGGUAAUAC
rnacentral:rRNA from 1 species